rnacentral:rRNA from 1 species
UACGUAGGGUGCGAGCGUUAAUCGGAAUUACUGGGCGUAAAGCGUGCGCAGGCGGUUCGUUGUGUCGGCGGUGAAAUCCCCGGGCUCAACCUGGGAAUGGCGAUGGAUACUGGGCAGCUAGAGUGUGUCAGAGGAUGGUGGAAUUCCCGGUGUAGCGGUGGAAUGCGUAGAGAUCGGGAGGAACAUCAGUGGCGAAGGCGGCCAUCUGGGACAACACUGACGCUGCAGCACGAAAGCGUGGGGAGCAAACAGG